rnacentral:rRNA from 1 species
UACAGAGGUCUCAAGCGUUGUCCGGAAUCAUUGGGCGUAAAGAGCGUGUAGGCGGCCCGGUAAGUCCGCUGUAAAAGUCAAAGGCUCAACCUUUGAAUGUCAGUGGAUACUGCCGGGCUAGAGUCCGGAAGAGGCGAGUGGAACUCCUGGUGUAGCGGUGGAAUGCGCAGAUAUCAGGAAGAACACCAACGGCGAAGGCAGCUCGCUGGGACGGUACUGACGCUGAGACGCGAAAGCGUGGGGAGCGAACAGG